rnacentral:rRNA from 1 species
UGCUUCGGAUUAGUGGCGAACGGGUGAGUAACACUGAGCAUGUGCCCUGACUCUGGAAUAAGCGCUGGAAACGCGUUAAUACCGGAUAAGGCAUCUGAAAGAACUUCGGUCAAGGAUCAGCUCAGGCCUAUCAGUUAGUUGGUGAGGUAAUGGCCACCAAGACGACGACGGGUAGCCGGCCUGAGAGGGUGACCGGCCACACUGGGACUGAGACACGGCCCAGACUCCUACGGGAGGCAGCAGUGGGGAAUAUUGCACAAUGGGCGCAAGCCUGAUGCAGCAACGCCGCGUGAGGGACGACGGCCUUCGGGUUGUAAACCUCUUUUAGCGGGAAGAAGCGAAAGUGACGGUACCGCAGAAAAAGCACCGGCUAACUACGUGCCAGCAGCCGCGGUAAUACGUAGGGUGCAAGCGUUGUCCGGAAUUAUUGGGCGUAAAGAGUCGUAGGCGGUUGCACGUCUGCUGUGAAAUCCCGAGGCUCAACCUCGGGCUUGCAGGGGUACGGGACUAGAGUCGGUAGGGGAGAUUGGAAUUCCUGUGUAGCGGUGGAAUGCGCAGAUAUAGGAGGAACACCGAUGGCGAAGGCAGAUUCUGGGUACUGACGCUGAGGACGAAAGCAUGGGGAGCAAACAGGCUUAGAUACCCUGGUAGUCCAUGCCGUAAACGUUGGGAACUAGGUGGGGCUUCCAGCUCCGUGCGUAGCUAACGCAUAAGUUCCCCGCCUGGGGAGUACGGCCGCAAGGCUAAAACUCAAAGGAAUUGACGGGGGCCCGCACAAGCGGCGGAGCAUGCGGAUUAAUUCGAUGCAACGCGAAGAACCUUACCAAGGCUUGACAUAACGGAACAUGGAGACAGUCUCUUUGGACCUAUACAGGUGGUGCAUGGUUGUCGUCAGCUCGUGUCGUGAGAUGUUGGGUUAAGUCCCGCAACGAGCGCAACCCUCGUCCUAUGUUGCCAGCACGUAAUGGUGGGACUCAUGGGAUACUGCCGGGGUCAACUCGGAGGAAGGUGGGGAUGAGGUCAAAUCAUCAUGCCCCUUAUGUCUUGGGCUUCACGCAUGCUACAAUGGCGUACAAUGGGUGCAUCCGCAAGGUGGAGCAAUCCCAAAAGCUCUCAGUUCGGAUUGAGGUCUGCAACUCGACCUCAUGAAGUCGGAGUCGCUAGUAAUCG